rnacentral:rRNA from 1 species
UACACACCGCCCGUCACAUCACGAAAGCGGGUUGUACUAGAAGUCCGCGCGCCGACCGCAAGGGGGCAGCGGCCCAAGGUAUGAUCCGUGAUUGGGGUG